rnacentral:rRNA from 1 species
UACGUAGGGUGCAAGCGUUAAUCGGAAUUACUGGGCGUAAAGCGUGCGCAGGCGGUUGUGCAAGACAGAUGUGAAAUCCCCGGGCUUAACCUGGGAACUGCAUUUGUGACUGCACGGCUAGAGUGCGGCAGAGGGGGAUGGAAUUCCGCGUGUAGCAGUGAAAUGCGUAGAUAUGCGGAGGAACACCGAUGGCGAAGGCAGCCCCCUGGGUCAAGAUUGACGCUCAUACACGAAAGCGUGGGGAGCAAACAGG